rnacentral:rRNA from 1 species
AUCUAAGCACGAAACUUGCCCCGAGAUGAGUUCUCCCUGAGACUUUAAGUCUCCUGAAGGAACGUUAAAGACGAUGACGUUGAUAGGCCGGGUGUGUAAGCGCAGCGAUGCGUUGAGCUAACCGGUACUAAUGAACCGUGAGGCUUAACCUUACAACGCCGAAG